GAUUGAACGCUGGCGGCAGGCCUAACACAUGCAAGUCGAGCGGCAGCGGAAAGUAGCUUGCUACUUUGCCGGCGAGCGGCGGACGGGUGAGUAAUGUCUGGGAAACUGCCUGAUGGAGGGGGAUAACUACUGGAAACGGUAGCUAAUACCGCAUAACGUCGCAAGACCAAAGAGGGGGACCUUCGGGCCUCUUGCCAUCAGAUGUGCCCAGAUGGGAUUAGCUAGUAGGUGGGGUAACGGCUCACCUAGGCGACGAUCCCUAGCUGGUCUGAGAGGAUGACCAGCCACACUGGAACUGAGACACGGUCCAGACUCCUACGGGAGGCAGCAGUGGGGAAUAUUGCACAAUGGGCGCAAGCCUGAUGCAGCCAUGCCGCGUGUAUGAAGAAGGCCUUCGGGUUGUAAAGUACUUUCAGCGGGGAGGAAGGUGUUGAGGUUAAUAACCUCAGCAAUUGACGUUACCCGCAGAAGAAGCACCGGCUAACUCCGUGCCAGCAGCCGCGGUAAUACGGAGGGUGCAAGCGUUAAUCGGAAUUACUGGGCGUAAAGCGCACGCAGGCGGUCUGUCAAGUCGGAUGUGAAAUCCCCGGGCUCAACCUGGGAACUGCAUUCGAAACUGGCAGGCUAGAGUCUUGUAGAGGGGGGUAGAAUUCCAGGUGUAGCGGUGAAAUGCGUAGAGAUCUGGAGGAAUACCGGUGGCGAAGGCGGCCCCCUGGACAAAGACUGACGC
rnacentral:rRNA from 1 species